UACAGAGGGUGCGAGCGUUAAUCGGAAUUACUGGGCGUAAAGCGUGCGUAGGUGGUUUGUUAAGUCUGUUGUGAAAGCCCCGGGCUCAACCUGGGAAUGGCGAUGGAUACUGGCUCGCUAGAGUGCGGUAGAGGAGAGUGGAAUUCCCGGUGUAGCAGUGAAAUGCGUAGAUAUGCGGAGGAACACCGAUGGCGAAGGCAAUCCCCUGGGCCUGCACUGACGCUCAUGCACGAAAGCGUGGGGAGCAAACAGG
rnacentral:rRNA from 1 species